CCUACGGGUGGCUGCAGUGGGGAAUAUUGGACAAUGGGCGAAAGCCUGAUCCAGCCAUGCCGCGUGUGUGAAGAAGGCCUUCGGGUUGUAAAGCACUUUCAGUGGGGAAGAAAGCCUUGGGGCUAAUACCCUCGAGGAAGGACAUCACCCACAGAAGAAGCACCGGCUAACUCCGGUGCCAGCAGCCGCGGUAAUACGGAGGGUGCGAGCGUUAAUCGGAAUUACUGGGCGUAAAGCGCGCGUAGGCGGUCUGAUAAGCCGGUUGUGAAAGCCCCGGGCUCAACCUGGGAACGGCAUCCGGAACUGUCAGGCUAGAGUGCAGGAGAGGGAGGUAGAAUUCCCGGUGUAGCGGUGAAAUGCGUAGAGAUCGGGAGGAAUACCAGUGGCGAAGGCGGCCUUCUGGACUGACACUGACGCUGAGGUGCGAAAGCGUGGGUAGCAAACAGGAUUAGAUACCCCGGUAGUC
rnacentral:rRNA from 1 species